UAGAGUUUGAUCAUGGCUCAGGACGAACGCUGGCGGCGUGCCUAAUACAUGCAAGUCGAGCGAGGAGCCGGAAGGCGCAAGCCGGAAGGCGACUAGCGGCAGACGGGUGAGUAACACGUAGGGAACCUGCCUGAAAGACCGGGAUAGCUCCUGGAAACGGGAGGUAAUACCGGAUGAGCUUGCGGGAGGCAUCUUCUGCAAGGAAAGGGGGGGAACCCGCUUUCAGAGGGUCCUGCGGCCCAUCAGCUAGUUGGUGAGGUAGUGGCCCACCAAGGCGAUGACGGGUAGCCGGCCUGAGAGGGUGGACGGCCACACUGGGACUGAGAGACGGCCCAGACUCCUACGGGGGGCAGCAGUAGGGAAUAUUGCGCAAUGGACGGAAGUCUGACGCAGCGACGCCGCGUGAGCGAAGAAGGCCUUCGGGUCGUAAAGCUCUGUUCUUGGGGACGAAGAAGGUGACGGUACCCAAGGAGAAAGCCCCGGCUAACUACGUGCCGGCAGCCGCGGUAAUACGUAGGGGGCAAGCGUUGUCCGGAAUUACUGGGCGUAAAGGGCGUGUAGGCGGCCAUGUAUGUCAGGUGUGAAAGGCCACGGCUCAACCGUGGUAUUGCACUUGAAACUGCAUGGCUUGAGUGCAGGAGAGGGAAGUGGAAUUCCUAGUGUAGCGGUGAAAUGCGUAGAUAUUAGGAGGAACACCAGUGGCGCAGGCGACUUCCUGGACUGUAACUGACGCUGAGGCGCGAAAGCGUGGGGAGCGAACGGGAUUAGAUACCCCGGUAGUCCACGCCGUAAACGAUGGGUACUAGGUGUAGGAGGUAUCGACCCCUUCUGUGCCGUAGUUAACACAAUAAGUACCCCGCCUGGGGAGUACGGCCGCAAGGUUGAAACUCAAAGGAAUUGACGGGGGCCCGCACAAGCGGUGGAGCAUGUGGUUUAAUUCGACGCAACGCGAAGAACCUUACCAGGGCUUGACAUCGAGGGAAGGCUUGUGGAAACACGAGUCGUCACAAGCUUGCUUGUGACCCGAAGACAGGUGGUGCAUGGUUGUCGUCAGCUCGUGUCGUGAGAUGUUGGGUUAAGUCCCGCAACGAGCGCAACCCUUAUCUUUAGUUGCCAGCACGUGGAGGUGGGCACUCUAGAGAGACUGCCGGUGACAAACCGGAGGAAGGUGGGGAUGACGUCAAAUCAUCAUGCCCCUUAUGUCCUGGGCUACACACGUGCUACAAUGGCCGGUACAAAGGGAAGCGAUGGGGUGACCCGGAGCAAAUCCCAGCAAAGCCGGUCUUAGUUCGGAUUGUAGUCUGCAACUCGACUACAUGAAGUCGGAAUCGCUAGUAAUCGCAGGUCAGCAUACUGCGGUGAAUACGUUCCCGGGCCUUGUACACACCGCCCGUCACACCACGAAAGCCUGCAACACCCGAAGCCGGUGAGCUAACCCGCAAGGGAGGCAGCCGUCGAAGGUGGGGCCGGUGAUUGGGGUGAAGUCGUAACAAGGUAACC
rnacentral:rRNA from 1 species